rnacentral:rRNA from 1 species
UACAUGUGGGGCAAGCGUUGUUCGGAAUUACUGGGCAUAAAGGGUGCGUAGGUGGUUUGUUAAGUCAGGGGCGAAAUCCCGCGGCCCAACCGUGGAACUGCCUUUGAUACUGGCGAACUUGAGUGCGUGAGGGGUAGGGGGAACGAGCAGUGUAGCGGUGAAAUGCGUAGAUAUUGCUCGGAAGGCCAGAGCCGAAGGGGCCCUACUGGUGCGCAACUGACACUGAGGCACGAAAGCGUGGGGAGCAAACAGG